GACAGAGGUGCCAAGCGUUAGGCGGAAUCACUGGGCUUAAAGCGUGUGUAGGCGGAUCGUUAAGUACCUUGUGAAGUCCCACGGCUCAACCGUGGAACUGCAAUGGAAACUGGCGGGCUUGAGUGUGGCAGAGGGGGGUGGAAUUCCGCGUGUAGCAGUGAAAUGCGUAGAGAUGCGGAGGAACACCGAUGGCGAAGGCAGCCCCCUGGGCCAACACUGACGCUCAGGCACGAAAGCGUGGGGAGCAAACAGG
rnacentral:rRNA from 1 species